CGUUCCAGGCUCGGGUGGGAGGGCCGCGGUCUGCAUCUUGGACCCCCGCGUUGGGGCCGCCGUAUGGGGCUGUUGGGCCCGCGCGCACCGCUGCAGGCCCGGCUGGGGCGUCCGAAGCGCUCGAGCUGCGGGAGCUGCAGGUUUCAGGGGGCGUCUUCAGGGGACCUACGGACAUCUCAAUGGCCCUGGGAGAAGAAAAGGCAGAGGUAGAAACAUCUGAGGACACAAAGGCCCCAUCCUACAGGAGGUGGAGCUGCAGGGAGCAGGAGGUGGGCACCCCAGGGCCCGUGAGCGGGGAGCAGCUGCCACGCCUGGAAGCUGAGGGAGGGCCCGCCUCCCCUGUGUGGCGGGCAGAGGGGCUCCCUGUCACUGCCUGCUGCGGUGGGGCCAGCCCUGGUCCCUCUGGAGCCUACCAGCCGCAGGCCAGUGACGCCAGCUGGGAGCCUGGUGGCUCCAAGCCUGUGUUCGGUUGCCUGCUUCCUCCUACCAGCAUGGGGACUGGAGACCUUUCGCACUCCGUGGGAAGCCAGAUGGAGGAGACCAGGCUUUCUGCCUCAGAGGAGCUACCUCAGACCCUUACCGUUCCCAGAGCCACAGCCCUUUGCUCAGGACAUGAUGCUGACACCGAAGAGGACCUGUCCCCAGUUGAGUCACCCCGGGUGCUGGACCUCAGCCAACAGCCUCACAUCUCAGGUUUCCCUUUCCCGUCAAGGUGGAGGUCUGGGGUGAGCCCAGGUGCUGCUGCUCCGCAGUUUUCCAGCUGCAGCGGCUCCGCCUCGUCCCCCGGCAGCAGUCUCCAGGGUCACCAAGAGAAGGCGGAACCUCGAAGUUGCUCCCUUGCCAAGGUCUCCUCCCUGGAGCUGGUCGUCCCCCAGUCAGCCCCCUCUGUGGGGCGGCCAGGGCCUCGGCUCCAGUGGUCGCCACAGCCUGUGUUCUCUGGGGGUGAUGCUCCUGGGCUGGGCAGGAGGCACCUCUCCUUCCAGGCCGAGUACUGGGCCUGCGUGCUGCCAGAUUCCCUGCCCCCUUCCCCCGACCGCCACUCUCCCCUCUGGAACCCGAAUAAAGAGUAUGAAGACCUCCUGGACUAUACUUACCCACUGCGGCCCAGGCCUCAGCUCCUGAAGCACCUUGACAGCCAUGUGCUGGCUGACCCUGUCCUGCAGGACUCAGGUGUAGACCUGGAUAGCUUCUCUGUUUCCCCAGCAAGCACGCUGAAGUCACCCACUAAUAUCGCCCACAGUUGCCCACCAGCAGAGGCCACUGCCCUGCCAUUCUCAGGGCCCAGAGAGCCGGACCUUAAGCGGUUGCCCUCUGGAAUACCCCAGAAGCAGGGUGGCAUGGGGCUGGCGUCUCGUAGACUGCUUGCAUCUACCCCCAGAGCCCCAGGCAGUACAGAUGCUCCUUGGGAGAGCAAAGAGCCAGCCCUGAGGGGUGUGAGGGACUGGCUGCCUGUGGGCAAGCACCUUGAGGUGGGCCUUCCCCAGCUGAAGACAUGGGACAGAGGGUGGCCUUCACCCGGGCCAGAAAGAGAGAAAGGGACCAGCCAGAGUAUCCGGCGCCGUGCCUGCAUGGAGUCUGGAUGGAAAUCAGAGGAGGAGGUGGAAAGUGACGACGAGUACCUUGCCCUGCCCACUCGGCUGACGCAGGUUUCUAGCUUGGUUUCUUAUCUAGGUUCCAUUCCUACUGUGGUGACCCUGCCCACCGGGGCUCCCAAAGGGCAGAGCUCCCUGGACGUGUCAGACAGUGAUGGGCCAGCUUCCCUCCCAUCGGACUCCAGCCAAAGCCAGCUUCCCUCCAGGCCUGCCCGCAGAGGGUCCAGGGGCCCUGAGGGCCAGAACCACUGUUUGCUGCGCUCCUUCGUCCAUGCAAGGGACUCUGCAGUGACAGGCGGUCUGGGGAGUGGCCAGGCCCUGGGGGUCUCCUCUGGACCGCUGAGAACAUGUUCCUGCUUGCCAGCUAUGUUGGACCGGCGGGCAUUCUCAGAUCCAGAUGCUGACGGGCAGCCUCCCCGGAGGGGAGGAGAGCAGGGAAAAGAAUCACUCGUGCAGUGUGUGAAGACAUUUUGCUGUCAGCUAGAAGAGCUGAUCCGCUGGCUGUAUAACGUAGCAGACGUUACCAACCACUUGACUCCAGCCAAGUCCAAUCUCACAGGUCUCAGGUCUUCUCUGCAGCUUUACCGGCAAUUUAAGAAAGAUAUAGAUGAACACCAGUUCCUGACGGAGAGUGUCUUACAGAAAGGAGAGAUUCUUCUCCAGUGCCUGCUGGAUAAUACUCCAGUGUUAAAGGAUGUCCUCAGGAGGAUCUCGAAGCAGCCCAGUGAGCUAGAGAGCCACGCAGAUCACCUGUAUGACACUAUUUUAGCCUCUCUGGACAUGUUGGCUGGCUGCAGCCUCAUCCCUGACAACAUGCCAGUGACACACAGGAGCGCCGACGUGAAGGGGAUUAGCCUGGCAUCUUCUCAGGCAGAGAUGUAAUCUGUCAGCCCGAAUCUGGCUGGUGGGAAACUUUCAGGAAGUCCUUGUAAGAGCCAUUUAACACUGAAAUCAAGGGGGAAACUUCACGAAUGUACUAGCUUUAAAAUGCCUUUCUCUUCCCUGAAGUGUGACUGAAGGGUGCUUACUCUGGACCUAGCCGUGAAUGCCACUGAAGAGUAUCAACACAACUGUUAAUUAGAUCUUCAGCAGUGCUUUAAGAAGUCUAAGACCUCCUUUAGAACUCAAGCUGAAACUGUUUGGGCCUAGGAAGACGCUACCAGCAGCAUUUCUAUCAGGAGACAUGGCUGGGUUAGAUUCAAGUAGCCUGGCUGGCCAGUGUGCUGUGGUACACGUUAGCCUUAAAGACAACAGUGGCCUGCAGUGACAUGACAGUGGUUAUGAAAUACCAAACCAAGUGUACCUGUAGUAAAAUUUCCUAGUAGUUCCUUUAAAUUAGAACUUAAGUCCACAGGGAAGGCACAGUACUAAGAGCCAGACAGGCAGUUUUGAGACCUGGCUUCUUGUUGCAGCUCCAUGGCUAAGCUCAUCUGCAAAUAGGAGACAAUGUCAAUACAGGGCUGUUCUGAAGCUUAAAUGGGAACAUAAAGAAGGGUUGCUAUAAAAUACGCUACAGUGGCAACAUGUGUGCUAAGGGAUAUUUCAGUCAAAAACAGUAAGUUACUGCUCAGACCAGAACAGCUAUCAUUCUGCAAGGAUUUCCCAGAGACUGUGACUGCUCAGGGUUCAGAACACUCUUCGCUUAUGUAAGCUAAUUCAUGGCAGCCACUUACAUUCAAAAUGCCAAUAAGCAGUAAUUCCCUUUAAGUGGACAAAUUAUUAAAGGCCAUAGUAGCUUGAAAUGUUUGUACUUGAAAAUGGGAGAAGUGGGAAUGUUAUUUACAAAACUGCAUUUAUUGGCAUAUUCAUAAAAGCAAAUAACGAAGCACGCUGCAACGGCCUGUGGUAAGCCCCAGUCUUGACUGCCAUGGGGGAAAGAACACUAGAAUUUUCAAAACUAAAUAAGUGUGUAAAUAUGCUUACAUCUUAAAUUUAUGUAAUGGUUUUUUCUAACUCACCAAGAAUAAUGAGCUGAUGGUUUGAGCUUGCUGUAUAGAACUGAAGUGCACAGCAUCACACUGUCUAACAUUUGUGUCACUUAUCUAAUUCAAAAAACAGUUUCUAAAUUCCUUCCCCCUUUAUACAGUAUUGGUAAGGCAGAAUGCAAACCUUUUGAAGCAUUAAAAAAAAGAUCUUCACCCAAAUAACUAUUGGUAACUUGAGGAAUUUUUCAGUUGCCUUAUGUGAGGAUGAAUAGAUCCAACAAGCACAUCUAUAAUACAAAGUAAACUAUGAUUUUAUUGUGAAAUUCUCAUAGAUGGAAAAUUAAAUUGAAUAUUUAUUCUGUCCAUUUCAUUUUACAAUAAUCUUACCACUUAUUUUUGUACCAUGUAUUUCAAUUGCCUGUUUAGUGAAAAUAAAAAAACCUGUAAUUUUUGGCUUGUUUUUAGUUUAGAUUUUAUCAUUGAAUUAAAGACCCCACCAUAAAAUGUGUUGCCAACAACCACAUCCCAAGCCUCUAAGUAAAGAAUGUUUUGGCUGCUACUUCGACCCCAAGGAAACAAUCUUUGAUUUCUAUCAAUCACCUUAAAAUGCCAGUGUUAGCAGAAGAUUUUUGUUUCCCACAAUAAAACAAACCUUAGGAUCUUUAAGGUCCUAUUUAACAAAAUUUUUCACAUGUGCAAAAUUCCACUGAAAUAAAUAUAUUUCUCUCAUUUAUCAUUCCCACCCAGCCUUUGUGUUUUCAGUUAAUUUUUAGGGAUAUAAUUUCUAAAAUUAGGGCAAUCAAGUAAUAAAUUUCCUGCUUUCUACUUGAAUGCUUUAACUCUCCUCCACUCUAAGUUAUACAGUUGUGGAGGAUAAAACAGCUGGCAUCUGACUCGAGCACGGAGGAAACAGUAUUAUACAGCACACGCAUUAGUCUGAUCGUUGCCAAUUAGGAAAGGUGUGCUGCUUUCCCACCUCUACCACAGAUGAAUUAACAAAAUGUUGAUCAAUGAAGCCAUUUCAAAUGGUUUUCAGGGAAGGAUCAGAGAUAACAGGCUAGAUAGGGUAACAUUCUAAACUUGUUUUCCAUACAGUUAAAUCUCCCUGAACCGUUAAGCCUGGUUAAAUCCCUACACAGCACAGAAGGCUCUCUAGGUCAUUGAUUGGGUAUAUUAUCUGGAAAGCAUAUUGGAUGCUGCUCUAAGCUAGGUCUGCAAUGCCCUGCUUGCACACACAAAUGGCCAUUUUGAGUAUAAUGCAAGGUUCUAUUUCCCUUUAACCAUAAGAAUUAAAACUUAUCACCAUACAGUUUGAUAUUACUUCCAAUAAGUACAAUAUUUAUUAAACAUAUCUUCAGUUGUUUUGUUACAUAGUGUGCAACAAAUUACAAUAUUCUGCAGCCACAAAUUAUAUGCAGAGUAUGAAGAAACUAUUAAUCAGAUAGUGUAAUCUUUCCGUUUAUAACUCUACAAGGAAGAACUAGCAAAUCAGAUCUUACAUAUAACAUCUCACUAAACUUUAUGCAUGGAAAGUGACAGACACUGGUUGUGCUGUUUGAUACAAAAUGGCUGAACUUCAUCUUCAGAAGACUAAACCUGACGUCUAAACAUGCCAAUAUAAACAUCAAAACAAAA